UACGGAGGGCGCAAGCGUUGUUCGGAAUCAUUGGGCGUAAAGCGCGUGUAGGCGGUCUGGUCAGUCGGGUGUGAAAGCCCGGAGCUCAACUCCGGAACUGCAUUCGAUACUGCCAGGCUAGAGUCCCGGAGAGGGUGGUGGAAUUCCCGGUGUAGAGGUGAAAUUCGUAGAUAUCGGGAGGAACACCAGUGGCGAAGGCGGCCACCUGGACGGUGACUGACGCUGAGACGCGAAAGCGUGGGGAGCAAACAGG
rnacentral:rRNA from 1 species